rnacentral:rRNA from 1 species
AUGCACGCUAGCGGCAGGCCUAAUACAUGCAAGUCGGACGGGAUCCAUUGAUAGCUUGCUAUCAAUGGUGAGAGUGGCGCACGGGUGCGUAACGCGUGAGCAACCUGCCUCCAUCAGGGGGAUAGCCUCUCGAAAGAGAGAUUAACACCGCAUAAUAUCAACAGUUCGCAUGUUCAGUUGAUUAAAUAUUUAUAGGAUGGAGAUGGGCUCGCGUGACAUUAGCUAGUUGGUAGGGUAACGGCUUACCAAGGCGACGAUGUCUAGGGGCUCUGAGAGGAGAAUCCCCCACACUGGUACUGAGACACGGACCAGACUCCUACGGGAGGCAGCAGUAAGGAAUAUUGGUCAAUGGGCGGAAGCCUGAACCAGCCAUGCCGCGUGCAGGAUGACUGCCCUAUGGGUUGUAAACUGCUUUUGUCCAGGAAUAAACCUAAAUACGAGUAUUUAGCUGAAUGUACUGGAAGAAUAAGGAGCGGCUAACUCCGUG